rnacentral:rRNA from 1 species
AUUGAACGCUGGCGGCAGGCUUAACACAUGCAAGUCGAGCGGCGAUGAGGUGCUUGCACCUUAUCUUAGCGGCGGACGGGUGAGUAAUGCUUAGGAAUCUGCCUAUUAGUGGGGGACAACAUUCCGAAAGGAAUGCUAAUACCGCAUACGUCCUACGGGAGAAAGCAGGGGAUCUUCGGACCUUGCGCUAAUAGAUGAGCCUAAGUCGGAUUAGCUAGUUGGUGGGGUAAAGGCCUACCAAGGCGACGAUCUGUAGCGGGUCUGAGAGGACGAUCCGCCACACUGGGACUGAGACACGGCCCAGACUCCUACGGGAGGCAGCAGUGGGGAAUAUUUGACAAUGGGGGGAACCCUGAUCCAGCCAUGCCGCGUGUGUGAAGAAGGCCUUAUGGUUGUAAAGCACUUUAAGCGAGGAGGAGGCUACUGAGACUAAUACUCUUGGAUAGUGGACGUUACUCGCAGAAUAAGCACCGGCUAACUCUGUGCCAGCAGCCGCCGUAA